ACAGGUGCUGCAUGGCUGUCGUCAGCUCGUGUUGUGAAAUGUUGGGUUAAGUCCCAUAACGAGCGCAACCCUUGUCCUUAGUUGCCAUCAUUUAGCUGGGGACUCUAAGGAGACUGCCGGUGACAAACCGGAGGAAGGCGGGGACGACGUCAAGUCAUCAUGGCCCUUACGAGUAGGGCUACACACGUGCUACAAUGGCAGGUACAGAGGGUUGCGAAGCAGCGAUGUGGAGCUAAUCUCAGAAAGCCUGUCGUAGUCCGGAUUGGAGUCUGCAACUCGACUCCAUGAAGUCGGAAUCGCUAGUAAUCGUGAAUCAGAAUGUCACGGUGAAUACGUUCCCGGGCCUUGUACACACCGCCCGUCACACCAUGGGAGUGGGUUGCU
rnacentral:rRNA from 1 species